rnacentral:rRNA from 1 species
UGGGGAAUUUUGGACAAUGGGCGCAAGCCUGAUCCAGCCAUGCCGCGUGCGGGGAGAAGGCCUUCGGGUUGUAAACCGCUUUUGUCAGGGAAGAAAUCUUCUGAGUUAAUACCUCGGGAGGAUGACGGUACCUGAAGAAUAAGCACCGGCUAACUACGUGCCAGCAGCCGCGGUAAUACGUAGGGUGCAAGCGUUAAUCGGAAUUACUGGGCGUAAAGCGUGCGCAGGCGGUUUUGUAAGACAGAGGUGAAAUCCCCGGGCUCAACCUGGGAACUGCCUUUGUGACUGCAAGGCUUGAGUGCGGCAGAGGGGGAUGGAAUUCCGCGUGUAGCAGUGAAAUGCGUAGAUAUGCGGAGGAACACCGAUGGCGAAGGCAAUCCCCUGGGCCUGCACUGACGCUCAUGCACGAAAGCGUGGGGAGCAAACAGGAUUAGAUACCCUGGUAGUCCACGCCCUAAAACGAUGUCAACUGGUUGUUGGGAAGGUUCCUUCUCAGUAACGUAGCUAACGCGUGAAGUUGACCGCCUGGGGAGUACGGCCGCAAGGUUGAAACUUAAAUGAAUUGACGGGGU